CCUACGGGAGGCAGCAGUGGGGAAUAUUGCACAAUGGGCGAAAGCCUGAUGCAGCGACGCCGCGUGAGGGAUGACGGCCUUCGGGUUGUAAACCUCUUUCAGCAGGGAAGAAGCGAAAGUGACGGUACCUGCAGAAGAAGCGCCGGCUAACUACGUGCCAGCAGCCGCGGUAAUACGUAGGGCGCAAGCGUUGUCCGGAAUUAUUGGGCGUAAAGAGCUCGUAGGCGGCUUGUUGCGUCGGUUGUGAAAGCCCGGGGCUUAACCCCGGGUCUGCAGUCGAUACGGGCAGGCUAGAGUGUGGUAGGGGAGAUCGGAAUUCCUGGUGUAGCGGUGAAAUGCGCAGAUAUCAGGAGGAACACCGGUGGCGAAGGCGGAUCUCUGGGCCAUUACUGACGCUGAGGAGCGAAAGCGUGGGGAGCGAACAGGAUUAGAUACCCUGGUAGUCCACGCCGUAAACGUUGGGAACUAGGUGUUGGCGACAUUCCACGUCGUCGGUGCCGCAGCUACGCAUUAACGUUCCCGUCCCGUCGGGAGGUACGGCCGGCCGACGGACGUAAACUACAAAUAGAAGUUAGACGGCGUGAGACGUGCCGAACGGACGACGACGAGGGAGGUAGG
rnacentral:rRNA from 1 species